AUUGAACGCUGGCGGCAGGCCUAACACAUGCAAGUCGAACGGUAACAGGAAGCAGCUUGCUGCUUUGCUGACGAGUGGCGGACGGGUGAGUAAUGUCUGGGAAACUGCCCGAUGGAGGGGGAUAACUACUGGAAACGGUAGCUAAUACCGCAUAACGUCGCAAGACCAAAGAGGGGGACCUUAGGGCCUCUUGCCAUCGGAUGUGCCCAGAUGGGAUUAGCUAGUAGGUGGGGUAACGGCUCACCUAGGCGACGAUCCCUAGCUGGUCUGAGAGGAUGACCAGCCACACUGGAACUGAGACACGGUCCAGACUCCUACGGGAGGCAGCAGUGGGGAAUAUUGCACAAUGGGCGCAAGCCUGAUGCAGCAUGCCGCGUGUAUGAAGAAGGCCUUCGGGUUGUAAAGUACUUUCAGCGGGGAGGAAGGGAGUAAAGUUAAUACCUUUGCUCAUUGACGUUACCCGCAGAAGAAGCACCGGCUAACUCCGUG
rnacentral:rRNA from 1 species